rnacentral:rRNA from 1 species
GACGAACGCUGGCGGCGUGCUUAACACAUGCAAGUCGAACGAAGUGGAGAACGGGUGAGUAACGGGUAAUCAACCUGCCCUUCAGAGGGGGACAACAGUUGGAAACGACUGCUAAUACCGAAUACUGAAGGAGGGGAUUGCGUCGGAUUGGCUAGUUGGAGGGGUAACGGCCCACCAAGGCGAUGAGCAGUCGCCGGUCUGAGUGGAUGAACGGCCACAUUGGGACUGAGACACGGCCCAGACUCCUACGGGAGGCUGCAGGGGGGAAUUGUCCGAUAUGGACGAAAGUCUGACGGAGCAACGCCGCGUGAGUGAUGACGGGCUUCGGGUUGUAAAGCUCUGUUAAUCGGGACGCGGUACCGGAAUAGAAAGCCACGGCUAACUACGUGCCAGCAGCCGCGGUAAUAC